CGCGGCCUAUCAGCUUGUUGGUGGGGUAAUGGCCUACCAAGGCGACGACGGGUAGCCGGCCUGAGAGGGCGACCGGCCACACUGGGACUGAGACACGGCCCAGACUCCUACGGGAGGCAGCAGUGGGGAAUAUUGCACAAUGGGCGAAAGCCUGAUGCAGCGACGCCGCGUGAGGGAUGACGGCCUUCGGGUUGUAAACCUCUUUCAGCAGGGACGAAGCGUAAGUGACGGUACCUGCAGAAGAAGCGCCGGCCGACUACGUGCCAGCAGCCGCGGUAAGACGUAGGGCGCGAGCGUUGUCCGGAUUUAUUGGGCGUAAAGAGCUCGUAGGCGGCUUGUCGCGUCGACUGUGAAAACCCGCAGCUCAACUGCGGGCCUGCAGUCGAUACGGGCAGGCUAGAGUUCGGUAGGGGAGACUGGAAUUCCUGGUGUAGCGGUGGAAUGCGCAGAUAUCAGGAGGAACACCGGUGGCGAAGGCGGGUCUCUGGGCCGAUACUGACGCUGAGGAGCGAAAGCGUGGGGAGCGAACAGGAUUAGAUACCCUGGUAGUCCACGCUGUAAACGUUGGGCGCUAGGUGUGGGGGACCUCUCCGGUUCUCUGCGCCGCAGCUAACGCAUUAAGCGCCCCGCCUGGGGAGUACGG
rnacentral:rRNA from 1 species